GACGAACGCUGGCGGCGUGCCUAAUACAUGCAAGUAGAACGCUGAAGGAGGAGCUUGCUUCUCCGGAUGAGUUGCGAACGGGUGGGUAACGCGUAGGUAACCUGCCUGGUAGCGGGGGAUAACUAUUGGAAACGAUAGCUAAUACCGCAUAAGAGUAGAUGUUGCAUGACAUUUGCUUAAAAGGUGCAAUUGCAUCACUACCAGAUGGACCUGCGUUGUAUUAGCUAGUUGGUGAGGUAACGGCUCACCAAGGCGACGAUACAUAGCCGACCUGAGAGGGGGAUCGGCCACACUGGGACGGAGACACGGCCCAGACUCCUACGGGAGGCAGCAGUAGGGAAUCUUCGGCAAUGGACGGAAGUCUGACCGAGCAACGCCGCGUGAGUGAAGAAGGUUUUCGGAUCGUAAAGCUCUGUUGUAAGAGAAGAACGAGUGUGAGAGUGGAAAGUUCACACUGUGACGGUAGCUUACCAGAAAGGGACGGCUAACUACGUG
rnacentral:rRNA from 1 species